AUGCUCUGCUAAGCCAGCCGUGCCAUGCGAGAUGCAUACACAACCAAGGUCUUGGAUAAUCACAAUACAGCACAUGACAUCCAACCCAUCUCUAAUCUCCGAGCUCUUCCCAUUCUUUUCCAUUUAUUCACAAUUAUUUUUCUGCAAUCUUUCAUGUGGGCGGUUGAAGGAGCUAAUCAGAUGUAGCCCCCUAAGCGAUCAUGCUCAUUAGGGAG
rnacentral:lncRNA from 1 species